GACGAACGCUGGCGGCGUGCUUAACACAUGCAAGUCGAACGGAAAGGCCCUGCUUUUGUGGGGUGCUCGAGUGGCGAACGGGUGAGUAACACGUGAGUAACCUGCCCUUGACUUUGGGAUAACUUCAGGAAACUGGGGCUAAUACCGGAUAGGAGCUCCUGCUGCAUGGUGGGGGUUGGAAAGUUUCGGCGGUUGGGGAUGGACUCGCGGCUUAUCAGCUUGUUGGUGGGGUAGUGGCUUACCAAGGCUUUGACGGGUAGCCGGCCUGAGAGGGUGACCGGCCACAUUGGGACUGAGAUACGGCCCAGACCCCUACGGGGGGCAGCAGUGGGGAAUAUUGCAAAAUGGGGGGAAGCCUGAUGCAGCAACGCCGGGGGCGGGAUGACGGCCUUCGGGUGGGAAACCGCUUUCGCCUGUGACGAAGGGUGAGGGACGGUAAUGGGUAAAGAAGCCCCGGUUAACUACGU
rnacentral:rRNA from 1 species